rnacentral:rRNA from 1 species
GUGCUCCCCCGCCAAUUCCUUUAAGUUUCAGCCUUGCGGCCGUACUUCCCAGGUGGCUCGCUUCACGGCUUCCCUGCGGCACCAGACACGGUCGCGCCAUGCCUGACACCUAGCGAGCAUCGUUUACGGCUGGGACUACCCGGGUAUCUAAUCCGGUUCGUGCCCCCAGCUUUCGUCCCUCACCGUCGAACCCGUUCUGGUAAGACGCCUUCGCCACAGGUGGUCCCACAGGGAUUACAAGAUUUCACUCCUACCCCUGUAGUACCUCUUACCUCUCCCGGUUCCAAGCCUGGCAGUAUCCCCCGAAAGCCUAACGGUUGAGCCGUCAGAUUUCCCGGAGGACUGACCAAACCGGCUACGGACCCUUUAGACCCAAUAAUCACGAUCACCACUCGGGCCGCCGGUGUUACCGCGGCGGCUGGCACCGGUCUUGCCCGGCCCUUGCUGACAGGUGUAUUUUACACACCCGGACAGCCAGCAUAUGAUGCUGGCACUCGGUGUCCCCUUAUCACGGUUUCCCGCAUUGUAAAGUUUUCGCGCCUGCUGCGCCCCGUAGGGCCUGGAUUCAUGUCUCAGGAUCCAUCUCCGGGCUCUUGCUCUCACAACCCGUACCCGUUGUUGGCUAGUAGGUACAUUACACCCACUACUACCUGAUAGGCCGCAGACCCAUCCUUGGGCAGACGAAUCCAUUUUACGCAUAAAGCAUUCCAGCAUAUGUGCGUUAUCCGGAAUUAUCCCCAGUUUCCCGGGGUUAUGCCGGACCCAAGGGCAGGUUAUCCACGUGUUACUGAGCAGU